AUGGCUUUCGCGCUCAAUGCAUCUUGCUACCCUUCGUCUUUCUCGUCGCUGCUCCCGUGGCGGAUGGCAGCAGCGGUGAUGAUACCAAGGCGGAGGAAUGUUCUGCCUGUCAUUAAGGCGGUUGCGGUGGCUCCGCCCGCCCCGGCGCCGGCGAAGCCAGCAGCCGUGAGGAGCCGGCCCGUGUCGGUCACCAUGGCCAAGCUCAUGGCUAAGGGCAAGACAGCGCUCAUCCCGUAUAUCACCGCCGGUGAUCCUGACCUGGCCACAACGGCGGAGGCGCUGCGUCUCCUGGAUGCGUGUGGCGCCGACGUCAUUGAGCUUGGCGUGCCAUGCUCCGACCCCUACGUGGACGGUCCGAUCAUCCAGGCUUCGAGUGCGAGGGCUCUGGCGGGCGGUGCCACAAUGGACGGCGUGCUGGCGAUGCUCAAGGAGGUGACGCCGGAGCUGUCGUGCCCUGUGGUGCUCUUCUCGUACUACAGGCCUAUCUUGUGUCGAGGGUUGGCCGAAAUCAAAGAAGCCGGUGUACACGGUCUUAUAGUGCCUGAUCUCCCUUAUGUAGCCGCGCAUGCAUUAUGGAGUGAAGCCAAGAAGAACAACCUCGAGCUGGUGCUGCUCACAACACCAGCCAUACCAGAAGAAAGAAUGAAGGAAAUCACGAAAGCUUCGGAAGGUUUCAUUUACCUGGUGACCGUCAAUGGAGUUACAGGUCCCCGUGAAAACGUGAACCUUCGGGUUGAGUCCCUCAUUCAAGAGAUAAAAAAGGUUACUGACAAACCUGUUGCUGUUGGCUUUGGCAUAUCAAAACCUGAACACGUAAAGCAGAUUGCAAGAUGGGGUGCGGAUGGGGUGAUCAUUGGCAGUGCGAUGGUGAGGCAGUUGGGUGAAGCAGCUUCGCCCAGAGAAGGAUUGAAAAGGCUAGAGGCAUAUGCCAGGAGCAUGAAGAAUGCACUACCAUGA
rnacentral:rRNA from 1 species